UUGUAGGGCAGACUGCACCAUCUGAUAGAACUCACUUUAGGGAGAUUGUAGGCAUGUUGACUACCCAAUGCAAGUAUCUGCAGGACAACUUCCUUCCACAUGAACCUGUCCAUUCAUUAAGAAGUGCAUCAGAGGUUCUUUUCCAGGGGCCCCUACCAUCAAAGAUCUGAUGGGUGGUGACCAGGGAACACUUUCCUGAGGGCUGCUUGUCUGGUCACCAGUUUGAAAAGGAGUGAAAGUCUGACCUGAGGUGCCUUCAUCAGCAAGCCUGGCACAUUCAAGCAACCAUUUUCACACCUCUG